rnacentral:rRNA from 1 species
UGCCUCCUACGGGAGGCAGCAGUGGGGAAUAUUGCACAAUGGGGGAAACCCUGAUGCAGCGACGCCGCGUGAGCGAUGAAGUAUUUCGGUAUGUAAUGCUCUAUCAGCAGGGAAGAAAAUGACGGUACAUGACUAAGAAGCCCCGGCUAACUACGUGCCAGCAGCCGCGGUAAUACGUAGGGGGCAAGCGUUAUCCGGAUUUACUGGGUGUAAAGGGAGCGUAGACGGUCCUGCAAGCCAGCUGUGAAAGCCCGGGGCUCAACCCCGGGA